rnacentral:rRNA from 1 species
CUACGGGCUGCAGCAGUGGGGAAUAUUGGACAAUGGGGGAAACCCUGAUCCAGCAAUGCCGCGUGUGUGAAGAAGGCCUGCGGGUUGUAAAGCACUUUCGGUUGGGAGGACUGCUUCUAGCACUAAUAUUGUUGGAAGUUGACGUUACCUUCAGAAGAAGCACCGGCUAACUCCGUGCCAGCAGCCGCGGUAAUACGGAGGGUGCAAGCGUUAAUCGGAAUUACUGGGCGUAAAGCGCGCGUAGGCGGCUAGAUCAGUCGGGGGUGAAAGCCCCGGGCUUAACCUGGGAACUGCAUCCGAUACUGUCUAGCUUGAGUACAGGAGAGGAGAGUGGAAUUCCACAUGUAGCGGUGAAAUGCGUAGAUAUGUGGAGGAACACCAAUGGCGAAGGCAGCUCUCUGGCCUGAUACUGACGCUGAGGUGCGAAAGCGUGGGAAGCAAACAGGAUUAGAUACCCGUGUAGUC